GCCGAUGUAGCUCAAUUGGCAGAGCAGCUCAUUCGUAAUGAGCAGGCUACCGGUUCAAGUCCGGUCAUCGGCUCCA
rnacentral:tRNA from 1 species